rnacentral:rRNA from 1 species
UACGAAGGGGGCUAGCGUUGUUCGGAAUUACUGGGCGUAAAGCGCGCGCAGGCGGUCUUCCAAGUCAGUGGUGAAAGCCCGGAGCUCAACUCCGGAAUUGCCUUUAAGACUGCAUCGCUAGAAUCAUGGAGAGGUGAGUGGAAUUCCGAGUGUAGAGGUGAAAUUCGUAGAUAUUCGGAAGAACACCAGUGGCGAAGGCGACUCACUGGACAUGUAUUGACGCUGAGGUGCGAGAGCGUGGGGAGCGAACCGG